rnacentral:rRNA from 1 species
GAUGAACGCUAGCUACAGGCUUAACACAUGCAAGUCGAGGGGCAGCAUGAAGUUUGCUUGCAAACUUUGAUGGCGACCGGCGCACGGGUGAGUAACGCGUAUCCAACCUGCCCCGUACUCGGGUAUAGCCCAGCGAAAGCUGGAUUAAUCCCCGAUGUCCCCUUUAUGGUUCAUGUCAUAUUGGUUAAAGUUAUUCGGUACGGCAUGGGGAUGCGUCUGAUUAGGUAGUAGGCGGGGUAACGGCCCACCUCGCCGACGAUCAGUAGGGGUUAUGAGAGGAAGGUCCCCCACACUGGAACUGAAACACGGUCCAGACUCCUACGGGAGGCAGCAGUGAGGAAUAUUGGUCAAUGGGCGAGAGCCUGAACCAGCCAAGUAGCGUGCAGGAUGACGGCCCUACGGGUUGUAAACUGCUUUUAUGCGGGAAUAAAGAUAUCUACGUGUAGAUAGUUGCAUGUACCGCAUGAAUAAGGACCGGCUAAUUCCGUACCAGCCGCCGCUGUAAAAC